rnacentral:rRNA from 1 species
CAGCAGCCGCGGUAAUACGAAGGGGGCUAGCGUUGUUCGGAUUUACUGGGCGUAAAGCGCACGUAGGCGGAUCGAUCAGUCAGGGGUGAAAUCCCAGAGCUCAACUCUGGAACUGCCUUUGAUACUGUCGAUCUGGAGUAUGGAAGAGGUGAGUGGAAUUCCGAGUGUAGAGGUGAAAUUCGUAGAUAUUCGGAGGAACACCAGUGGCGAAGGCGGCUCACUGGUCCAUUACUGACGCUGAGGUGCGAAAGCGUGGGGAGCAAACAGGAUUAGAUACCCGCGUAGUCCCUGUCUCUUAUAC